GAUAACCCCGGGAAACGGGGUAUAAUACCCGAUUGGUCGGCAUUGCGGGAUGGCACCUCAAUUUAAUGCUCCGGCGCCUAAGGAUGGGUCUGCGGCCUAUCAGGUAGUUGUGGGUGUAACUGACCUACUAGCCUACAACCGGUACGGGUUGUGAGAGCAAGAGCCCGGAGAUGGAUUCUGAGACACGGUUCCAGGCCCUACGGGGUGCAGCAGGCGCGAAAACUUUACAAUGCUGGCAAUCGCGAUAGGGGAACCUCAAGUGCCAGGUUUCAAAUCUGGGUUUUUCGAUGCCUAAAAAGCAUUUCAGAACAAGGGCCGGGCAAGACCGGUGCCAGCCGCCGCGGUAACACCGGCGGCUCGAGUGGUGACCGUUUUUAUUGGGUCUAAAGGGUCUGUAGCCGGCUUGAUAAGUCUCUUGAGAAAUCUGGCAGCUUAACUGUGGGGCUUUCUGGAGAUACUGUCUGGCUCGAGGCCGGGAGAGGUGAGAGGUACUUCCGGGGUAGGGGUGAAAUCUUGUAAUCCUUGAAGGACCACCUGUGGCGAAGGCGUCUCACUGGAACGGACCUGACGGCGAGGGACGAAAGCUAGGGGCACGAACCGGAUUAGAUACCCGGGUAGUCCUAGCCGUAAACGAUACUCGACUAGGUGUCGGCCACGGCUGCGACCGUUCGUCGAGUGCCGUACGGGAAGCCUGUGUAAGCUGCGCCACCUGGGAAGUACGGCUCGCAAGACUGAAACUUAAAGGAAUUGGCGGGGGAGCACCACAACGCGUGGAGCUCUGCGGUUUAAUUGGAUUCAACGCCAGGACAUCUCACCGGGAGCGACAGCAUAUGAUGGCCAGGCUGAAUGACUUUGCCUUGACUAGCUGAAAGUAGGUGCAU
rnacentral:rRNA from 1 species